AAUGAGGUCUAUCCCAACGGAACCUUUGCAGUGGAUUCCUGUUGUUGGAAAUGCCUCAAAGAACAAAAUUGUAGUUUCGCUUUACCCACUGGAUUGUUUCCAUUAAACCAGUGUGAUACAACUGCAUAACAAAG
ensembl:snoRNA